AGCGGCGGACGGGUUAGUAACGCGUGGGAACGUACCCUUUUCUACGGAAUAGCCUUUGGAAACGAAGAGUAAUACCGUAUACGCCCUUUGGGGGAAAGAUUUAUCGGAGAAGGAUCGGCCCGCGUUAGAUUAGAUAGUUGGUGGGGUAACGGCCUACCAAGUCUACGAUCUAUAGCUGGUUUUAGAGGAUGAUCAGCAACACUGGGACUGAGACACGGCCCAGACUCCUACGGGAGGCAGCAGUGGGGAAUCUUAGACAAUGGGCGCAAGCCUGAUCUAGCCAUGCCGCGUGAGUGAUGAAGGCCUUAGGGUCGUAAAGCUCUUUCGCCUGUGAUGAUAAUGACAGUAGCAGGUAAAGAAACCCCGGCUAACUCCGUGCCAGCAGCCGCGGUAAUACGGAGGGGGUUAGCGUUGUUCGGAAUUACUGGGCGUAAAGCGCACGUAGGCGGAUUGGAAAGUUGGGGGUGAAAUCCCGGGGCUCAGCCCCGGAACUGCCUCCAAAACUAUCAGUCUAGAGUUCGAGAGAGGUGAGUGGAAUUCCAAGUGUAGAGGUGAAAUUCGUAGAUAUUUGGAGGAACACCAGUGGCGAAGGCGGCUCACUGGCUCGAUACUGACGCUGAGGUGCGAAAGUGUGGGGAGCAAACAGGAUUAGAUACCCUGGUAGUCCACACCGUAAACGAUGAAUGCCAGUCGUCGGGCAGUAUACUGUUCGGUGACACACCUAACGGAUUAAGCAUUCCGCCUGGGA
rnacentral:rRNA from 1 species